rnacentral:misc_RNA from 1 species
AACGCACCUUGCACCCUUUGGUAUUCCAAAGGGUACACCCGUUUGAGUGUCAUUGUAAUCUCACUUCAUCAGCUUUUGUUGAUGGGGGUGGACUUGGACUCUGUUGUGUCAUUACAACCGGUCUGAAAUGUGUGAGUGCACCCUGCUGUUGCAGCGUCUUCAGUGUGAUAAGCAUCUUCACUGAAUCAAGUUCCUUUGGGACACGUGUGUAAUGUGGGCUCUGUGCUGGCAAACUGUCUUUGGACAAUCUUGACAAUUCGACCUCAGAUCGGGUGGGACUACCCGCUGAACUUAA